rnacentral:rRNA from 1 species
GACGAACGCUGGCGGCGCGCUUAACACAUGCAAGUCGAACGGAAAGGCCUGCUUUCCCUUGUGGAUUGCGGGUACUCGAGUGGCGAACGGGUGAGUAACACGUGAGUGAUCUGCCCCCAACUUGGGUAUAAGCCUGGGAAACUGGGUCUAAUUCCCGAUAGGACUGCAGGGUGGUGCCUGUGGUGGAAAACGAUUUUCUAGUGGUUGGGGAUGAGCUCGCGGCCUAUCAGCUUGUUGGUGGGGUAAUGGCCUACCAAGGCGGCGACGGGUAGCCGGCCUGAGAGGGUGGACGGACACAUUGGGACUGAGAUACGGCCCAGACUCCUGCGGGAGGCAGCAGUGGGGAAUAUUGCACAAUGGGCGGAAGCCUGAUGCAGCGACGCCGCGUGGGGGAUGACGGCCUUCGGGUUGUAAACUCCUUGCGACCGCGAGGAAGCCGCCUGGUUGGAAGGGUGGUGACGGUAGUGGUAGAAGAAGCACCGGCUAACUACGUG